GCUAAUUAGUAGCUGUAGAAACUUCAUAGUUCUUUAUAAACUCUAAGGUACUUCCUUCUGCAUUUUUAGGUACACAGAAGGAAUGGCACUACCUGCAAUUUCUAAAUGGUGACCAAAGGACCAUCUGGAUGCCCCCUGUGAGCUGUACCUUCUCUAGCCCUGAGUUGGUGCCUUGAAAAUGGACACAGGGUGUAUAGCCAGACAUAUGUGAGUUCUGAUACCAGCCUGGUCAUUUAGCAGUGGAGACUCUGGAUCAGUCUGACCUUCCAUUGGCCCAUUUUUCUACUGCGAAUGUUACUCAUGACACCUAGAUUAAUGUAUUAUUCAAUAAACCUUAU
rnacentral:lncRNA from 1 species